rnacentral:tRNA from 1 species
GCGCCAAUAGCUCAGUUGGAUAGAGCAACGGAUUUCUACUCCGUGGGUCGGGGGUUCGAAUCCUCCAGGGCGCACCA